rnacentral:rRNA from 1 species
UUGACGGGGGCCCGCACAAGCGGCGGAGCAUGCGGAUUAAUUCGAUGCAACGCGAAGAACCUUACCAAGGCUUGACAUAUACAGGAAAACUGCAGAAAUGUAGUCCCCGCAAGGUCUGUAUACAGGUGGUGCAUGGUUGUCGUCAGCUCGUGUCGUGAGAUGUUGGGUUAAGUCCCGCAACGAGCGCAACCCUCGUCCUAUGUUGCCAGCACGUAAUGGUGGGAACUCAUGGGAGACUGCCGGGGUCAACUCGGAGGAAGGUGGGGAUGACGUCAAAUCAUCAUGCCCCUUAUGUCUUGGGCUUCACGCAUGCUACAAUGGCCGGUACAAAGGGCUGCAAUACCGUAAGGUGGAGCGAAUCCCAAAAAGCCGGUCUCAGUUCGGAUUGAGGUCUGCAACUCGACCUCAUGAAGUCGGAGUCGCUAGUAAUCGCAGAUCAGCAACGCUGCGGUGAAUACGUUCCCGGGCCUUGUACACACCGCCCGUCAAGUCACGAAAGUCGGUAACACCCGAAGCCGGUGCCUAACCGUAAGGAAGGAACCGUCUAAG